rnacentral:SRP_RNA from 1 species
AUGGGUGAGUCCUCGACGACUAGCUCCCUAUGAAUCCCCCAGGGCUUGACCGCAGCAAGGGUAGUAGGUUGUAGCAGUGCGAUCGAGAUCGCUCACCCUCC